ACAGAUCGUUCAGAGUUUGAUCCUGGCUCAGGAUGAACGCUAGCGACAGGCUUAACACAUGCAAGUCGAGGGGCAGCGGAGUUGUAGCUUGCUAUAACUGCCGGCGACCGGCGCACGGGUGAGUAACACGUAUGCAACCUGCCCGUUGCAGGGGGAUAAGCGGAAGAAAUUCCGUCUAAUACCGCGUAAUAUACUUUAGGGGCAUCCUUUUAGUAUUAAAGAUUUAUCGGCAACGGAUGGGCAUGCGGCGCAUUAGCUAGUUGGUGAGGUAACGGCUCACCAAGGCAACGAUGCGUAGGGGUUCUGAGAGGAAGGUCCCCCACACUGGUACUGAGACACGGACCAG
rnacentral:rRNA from 1 species